CUGCUUUCUGCAGAUGCUAUUGGAAGCAGUGUAUUGUCUCCUGCUGCUUUGCAAUAACUACUCAUGAUUGUGCCUGAGCUGACACCUCUUCUUUCCCAUACAGGCACAUCCAUUCCUGUAACUGGAUGGAUUUACCAAUAUGUUCUCAAUUUGGUAACACAUUAAGACACUGUUGGUUUUCACAGAGGCAAAAAGCAGCCAACACACUCAGAGACAGUUCCUGUGUCCAUGGCCUGUGAUUUUUAUUCAAUUUUGUUCUGUUUCAGCAUUCAUAAGAUUUAAAUUACAAGCAAAUUGUUUGCCCGAUUGGUCACAUUAUUACUACAGCUCCUAGUUUGGUGGUGGACAGGAGCAGAUGUCACAUCUGAGAUGUCCUCACUCCUGACAAAGCUGGGUUUAGGGAGAGGCUCAGUUAUAGCACUGAGAAUUUUUCAUGUGGCUUCCUAGGGAUGCUGGCAACACUGCAGUGAAGCAGGAGAUCAAAAGAGCAAAAGACAACAGGACAUUUAUUUUGUGGAUUGGAAAUCUGUCACUCAUUGCAUACAGACCACACGUGGCUGUGUCUUACAUAAAAAGAAUCAAGGUGGAAGAAGCAGAAGUGAACUAGAUACUUGUUUUCUUAUUAGGACUGCCUAAAUGGCUCUUGAAGAGGUGAAUGAAUUGAUUUUCCCCUUGGCUUUUCUGGCAGCAAGCCUUGGGCUCUAAUGAGCUCAUUACAAAUAGCCUUGUGCCCAUUGCUAACAGGUGAAGAAGAGCAGAAUUUCUCUUCCUUGCCUUCUCCUUCUGCAGCAGCAGCAGCUACAGCUCUUCAGCAACACCUCACAACACUUCUUCCCCCCCAGAAAGUGACUUCCCAACCCAAGAUACGAGGCUUGGUUGGCAUUUUUUGGAGGAAGGAUGAAAGAAAAGAGAGCAGAGUUGAAACACUUCCCUCUUUUGCAAAAUCCCCAUGGUCAUUCCCAAAUGGAGAGAGAGCCUCCCACCCUAGCUGGAGGGUUGGAAGAAGCAUGAUUUUGGGUUAUGUGGGCUCUAAUGGAACCAGAAAGAUGCCUCAAUGUGUCUUCCUCCCUUUCCCCAUUCUGUUUCACAUCAGCCAGUUCCCAAGAGACUCUCAAGGCUCUCUGGAGCCUUUCCUGCAAGAAAGAGCUGGUCAGCACCCCAAGAAACAAGUGUGGAUGUAUCCUGCAGCUCUCUGGGCCAGGAGCAGCCCCUCUGGGAAACCACUAAGGAGCUUCAGUUCCUCUCUUGCUUACUUAACUGGAAAAAAGAGUAAGAGUUGCACUGAUUGCAGUCAGUAAGGAUUUCCAUGUACAAGUGGGAAUACUGUGGUUUACAAGAGUUAGAGAAGAGAAGCAUAAUGAAAGCUAAUGGUUGGAAGCAGGAUUAAGAUGGAGUUAAAUGGAAAGAAAGGGACAGAUUGUAAUGCAGGAGAUCACCUUUGGUACAAUGGAGGAGAAGUCCUCAUUCUGCAGGGCUUUAAUAGAGACCUGCUCAGAUCCUGCAAGCACACAUUGGCCAAGUGAAAGUUAUGACCUCAGCAGCCCUUCCCUUGGUGAAAACUCCCAUCUUUCCUUGUUGUGAUCAUCCAAACUGACUCUUUGCUUGCCUCAGCUUUCAUGCCACCCCUGCUUCUUUUCCUCACUUUCUUCUGAAGGGUCAUGCACUCACAUCUUUCCGGAGUCUACUGGAAAAAAAUACCUGCUUUGUUUGAGCUGUCUUCAGUUCCUUCCCUUCACCUUGUCAAAUACCAGGAAGGGCUGACUUGGAAACUUUGUCCAUUUAGCAGAACUUGGCUUCAAGUCAACAACCCCAGGCUAACAGUGUUUAUCAGGCAGUAGGAGAUCAAUUCUAAUUCCUGAACAGUUAUCAUUCUUCCUGUUGUGGCUGUUCUCCAGCACUUUUUGAUGCUGGGAAACUUUAUGCAGAGGUGUUUGCAGGAGGUAGAGAGACUGAUGUGUCCCUGCAGGUUUUACAACUGAUCAUAUCGCCCAUAACUACCUCUACUGUCUUAUGGGAGGGUGCUGUGUUUUCCUUUUUUCCCCCUAAAUGUUGGUUGAAGUUUGUGACAGCCAGCUUGGAGCAGUCAUACAAAGAGGUCUGCCUGGUUUUAAAUUGGUAUCUCAGCCUGGUUCCUGUGCUGUCACUGAGAUGGCAGAGAUGCACGCACUUGCUUUUGUUGACAAGUGGACAACACUGAAGUAAACAGAUGUACUGCUCCAAUUCUCUGUAGCAAUUGCCAGAUUAUUACUUUCCUAUUUGUACAUUUAGCCUGACCCAGUCUGCCAAGAAUCACAAGAA
ensembl:lncRNA